CCGACGAACGGGUACGAGUAACACGUGGGUAACGUCGCCCAUGAGUCGGGACAACCCGGGGAAACCCGGGCUAAUACCGAAUGUGCUCCCCCGCAUCGAGUGGGGGGUGAAAAGGAAGCUUCGGCCUCCGCAUUGGGAUCGGCCCGCGGCCCAUUAGCUUGUUGGUGAGGUAACGGCUCACCAAGGCUGCGAUGGGUAGCUGGUCUGAGAGGACGAUCAGCCACACUGGGACUGAGACACGGCCCAGACUCCUACGGGAGGCAGCAGUGGGGAAUCUUGCGCAAUGCGCGAAAGCGUGACGCAGCAACGCCGCGUGGGGGAAGAAGGCCUUCGGGUUGUAAACCCCUUUCAGGAGGGACGAAGCCCGAGCGGUGAAUAGCCGACUCGGGUGACGGUACCUCCAGAAGAAGCCCCGGCUAACUACGUG
rnacentral:rRNA from 1 species